AGCCUGAACGCUGGCGGCGUGGCUAAGACAUGCAAGUCGUACGGUGUAGCAAUACACAGUGGCGAACGGGUGAGUAAUGAAUCGCUAAUGUACCCCGGACUCUGGGAUAGCUGCCCGAAAGGGCAGGUAAUACCAGAUGAGACCACGAACAGGCAUCUGUUUGUGCUCAAAGGUCCGCCGGUCUGGGAGCAGGCGAUUUUGUAUCAGCUAGUUGGUGAGGUAACGGCUCACCAAGGCGACGACGCAUAGCCGGACUGAGAGGUUGGCCGGCCACAUUGGGACUGAGACACUGCCCAGACUCCUACGGGGGGCUGCAGUAACGAAUCUUCCGCAAUGCACGAAAGUGUGACGGAGCGACGCCGCGUGUAGGACGAAGCCCUUCGGGGUGUAAACUACUGUCAGGGGUUAGAAAGUUCUGAUCAACCCCAGAGGAAGGCACGGCUAACUCUGUGCCAGCGCCGCGGUAA
rnacentral:rRNA from 1 species